GUCGAGCGAACAGACGAGGAGCUUGCUCCUCUGACGUUAGCGGCGGACGGGUGAGUAACACGUGGGUAACCUACCUAUAAGACUGGGAUAACUCCGGGAAACCGGGGCUAAUACCGGAUAACACAUGAAACCGCAUGGUUUCAUGAUGAAAGACGGUUUUGCUGUCACUUAUAGAUGGACCCGCGGCGUAUUAGCUAGUUGGUAAGGUAACGGCUUACCAAGGCAACGAUACGUAGCCGACCUGAGAGGGUGAUCGGCCACACUGGAACUGAGACACGGUCCAGACUCCUACGGGAGGCAGCAGUAGGGAAUCUUCCGCAAUGGGCGAAAGCCUGACGGAGCAACGCCGCGUGAGUGAUGAAGGUCUUCGGAUCGUAAAACUCUGUUAUUAGGGAAGAACAAGGAUGUAAGUAACUGUGCAUCCCUUGACGGUACCUAAUCAGAAAGCCACGGCUAACUACGUGCCAGCAGCCGCGGUAAUACGUAGGUGGCAAGCGUUAUCCGGAAUUAUUGGGCGUAAAGCGCGCGUAGGCGGUUUUUUAAGUCUGAUGUGAAAGCCCACGGCUCAACCGUGGAGGGUCAUUGGAAACUGGAAAACUUGAGUGCAGAAGAGGAAAGUGGAAUUCCAUGUGUAGCGGUGAAAUGCGCAGAGAUAUGGAGGAACACCAGUGGCGAAGGCGACUUUCUGGUCUGCAACUGACGCUG
rnacentral:rRNA from 1 species